AAUCAGAAAAACAUAACGCUUACGAUAAUAAUUGCCACGAUAUUUAAAAACGUUACAAAACGUAUAUACGUUAAAGAAACGAAAGGCGUAGGCCUUAUGCUUUUAUAUACGCUAACUAAUAAUUUAUGUUGUCGUACGUUUUUAUUUUAUUUUUACGUGCGUGUUUUAUAAUUUACAUAAAAAGGAUUUAAGCGAGACGAUCGCGGUGACCGAUCUCUUCGGACUGGAGUGUGAAGGAAUAGCAGGACGCGAGCUGACAGCUCGUGCAUUACCACACCACAAACAUUGUAAAGCAUUGACAAUAUCGGUGGCCGUACAUUAUUACAGCAAAUACCGUGAAAGAGCGUGAAGCCGAGGAUACAGCUGGAAUGACUGCCACUACGAUACACAGAUGGUGUGCCUAAGAAUUAGCGUCGUUAAAAGCAUGAUGUAGUGCGGACAUGGCGGCCAGUUCCGCCGAUGGCAAAAAACAAACCUUUAUUUUAGACGAAAUAUCUCAUUCGGCUUUGAGAAAGAAAUCGCAGACCGGCGCUAAACACUCUAAAAGAAAGCAAAAAAGCAAAAGAUCGGAUGGAAGCGUUUCUGACAGCUCAAGCAGCUUUGUAAGACAGGUGAGAACUUUUGUAUUGUUAAUUUCCAAAUACCGUAAACAUAUUCCGAAAACUUCCUAAUCAUUGCUUUAAAAUGCAUAAACGGAGAUUAGAUUUCUUUAUUUUUAUAUUUUUAAAAAAAUAUUCAAAUCAUUUUAAUUUUGAAAAUUAAUUCG
rnacentral:lncRNA from 1 species